rnacentral:tRNA from 1 species
GGCUGGGUAGCUUAGUGGUAGAGCAGACGUUUCAUAAGCGUCAGGUCGUGGGUUCGAUUCCCACCCCAGCUA